GGCACUACGAGUCACACGCGCGCACCGCUCUGUCGUCGCAGCUCGCACCAUCCUGACCCGGGACGAAGCAGCCAGUGGAUCCCAGGUUCGAGCCUCCUCCCGGACCUCCUCCUCGCGUUGGACUUACGGACUUUAUCAUGAUUCUCCCGAGCCGCGGACUGAAGAUUAAACCCAUGAGAACGAGGGUCCUGUCCCAGCGGUAGUUCUGCGUCUUUUAUCCGCGAGAAAACAAAAGUUCACACAACUUUCUCGAGCGUCCGGACCCCCUUGGUGCCCCGGACCCCCGUGAACCCCGGACCACCGUGAACCCCCCAGGGACCCCCUAGUGCCCAGGGUCCCGCUCGGCAUGGAGAACCCGGCGCUGCUGGUCCUGGCGCUGUGCGUGUGUGUGGCUAGGGUCUCGGAUACGACCCCUCGUUCCACCAGACCCACCAGACCAACGGCUUCCAGGCACUCCAGAAGGGACAGGGGAUCGUCAGCCCGGGCCGGGUGGCGAGCAGACACAGGAACUGGUGUGCGUUCGCGGUGACCCGUGCGGUCAGCUGUGUGACGGAGGACGGCGUGGAGAGCUACGUGAAGCCGGACUACCAGCGCUGCGUCUGGGGCCAGUGUCCCCGGGCCCUUGUUUACUUUAGUUUUAAGCUGAGCUGAGCUCCCACAGAACCUGGGACUGGACCUGGACCUGAGUCCUCUGGGGCAGGAUCAGAACCGGGUCAGGUUCUCAGCUUCAGUAUGUCAAGAAUGAAGUCGAAAGCUUCCAGGCACCAAAGCUACUUCCUGCCAGAACACACCUCCCUGCAUCCUUUAAUGACACUCCGUCUCCCUCCCUCCCCCUCUCCCCCUCUCUCCCUCUCUCCCUCUCUCCCUCUCUCCCUCUCUGUCUCUCUCUCUCUCUCUCUCUCUCUCUCUCUCUCUCUCUCUCUCUCUCUCUCUCUCUCUCUCUCUCUCUC
ensembl:lncRNA